rnacentral:rRNA from 1 species
ACGGGUGAGUAAUGUCUGGGGAUCUGCCCGAUAGAGGGGGAUAACCACUGGAAACGGUGGCUAAUACCGCAUAACGUCGCAAGACCAAAGAGGGGGACCUUCGGGCCUCUCACUAUCGGAUGAACCCAGAUGGGAUUAGCUAGUAGGCGGGGUAACGGCCCACCUAGGCGACGAUCCCUAGCUGGUCUGAGAGGAUGACCAGCCACACUGGAACUGAGACACGGUCCAGACUCCUACGGGAGGCAGCAGUGGGGAAUAUUGCACAAUGGGCGCAAGCCUGAUGCAGCCAUGCCGCGUGUAUGAAGAAGGCCUUUGGGUUGUAAAGUACUUUCAGCGGGGAGGAAGGCGAUGUGGUUAAUAACCGCGUCGAUUGACGUUACCCGCAGAAGAAGCACCGGCUAACUCCGUGCCAGCAGCCGCGGUAAUACGGAGGGUGCAAGCGUUAAUCGGAAUUACUGGGCGUAAAGCGCACGCAGGCGGUCUGUUAAGUCAGAUGUGAAAUCCCCGGGCUUAACCUGGGAACUGCAUUUGAAACUGGCAGGCUUGAGUCUCGUAGAGGGGGGUAGAAUUCCAGGU